GCGUUACAAGAUUGUCCAUAAACAUUCAAGAAAUAUUUACAGUAAUACUAUUAAUUCCUUUAUCACUAAUAACAAUUUAAUCCUUUUAUUAAUAUAAUCUAACAUUAUAUAUACUAAUGAUGAUUAUAGCUUGUCUGACAAAGGCUUGACAUAAGCUAAAUAAAAACCACGAACGAAGAGCAUGAUAAGCAAAUUUAAAA